AACUACGACAGCGGAGCCCCUGGGGAAGCCAAGAUGCCGUCGAAGGGAAAGGACAAAAAGAAAGGCAAGAGCAAAGGCAAAGACACGAAAUUGAAAAACUGAAACAGCAAUUAAAUGAAACAAAGGAAAAAGCCCAAGAGGAGAAGGAUAAAUUGCUGAAAGAGAAUUUAAGAAACACAGAGCGGAUACAUCAGGAGACUCUUAGAAGACUGGAAAGCAGAUUUUUUGAAGAAAAGCACCGACUAGAACAAGAGGCUGAAAAGAAGAUAAUAAUGCUAGCAGAGAGAGCCCACCAUGAGGCUAUUGUGGUCUGGCUCUGUCACCCAGGCUGGAGUACAUUGGCAUCAUCAUGGUUCACUGCAUCCUCCACUGCCUGGGCUCAAGUGAUCCUCUCACGUCAGCCUCCAGAGUAGCUGGGACUACAGGCAAUUGAACGAUGCUGGAAGAAAUGUUUUUAAAGAGAAUGAUUAUCUUCAGAAAGCUCUGGCAUAUCACCUGAAGGAAACUGACGCUCUACAAAAAAACUCCCAGAAGUUGCAAGAGAGUCAUACUUUACUUUUACAUCAAAAGG
rnacentral:lncRNA from 10 species